GACAGUGUGGCUUAGUAGGUAGAAUGUUUGACUAUGACUCUGGAGACCAGGGUUUGAUUCUCCACUUGGCCA